rnacentral:rRNA from 1 species
CACUCCUACGGGAGGCAGCAGUGGGGAAUUUUGGACAAUGGGCGAAAGCCUGAUCCAGCCAUGCCGCGUGCAGGAUGAAGGCCUUCGGGUUGUAAACUGCUUUUGUACGGAACGAAACGGCCUUUUCUAAUAAAGAGGGCUAAUGACGGUACCGUAAGAAUAAGCACCGGCUAACUACGUGCCAGCAGCCGCGGUAAUACGUAGGGUGCAAGCGUUAAUCGGAAUUACUGGGCGUAAAGCGUGCGCAGGCGGUUAUGUAAGACAGUUGUGAAAUCCCCGGGCUCAACCUGGGAACUGCAUCUGUGACUGCAUAGCUAGAGUACGGUAGAGGGGGAUGGAAUUCCGCGUGUAGCAGUGAAAUGCGUAGAUAUGCGGAGGAACACCGAUGGCGAAGGCAAUCCCCUGGACCUGUACUGACGCUCAUGCACGAAAGCGUGGGGAGCAAACAGGAUUAGAUACCCUUGUAGUCCCA